rnacentral:rRNA from 1 species
UCCAGGUGUGAAAAAAGCUCUCUGCACCUCUCACAUGGUCACUCACUGAUACUAAGCAAUGCUUUGCCUGGUCAGUACCUGGAUGGGAGACCACAUGGGAAUACUAGGUUGCUGCAGGAA